GACCUGGUGGUGGAUGGUUCACACUCACCGUUCUUGUGCACAUUUUCUACUCAUAUAAGGUGGGGAGUCCUGGUUCGAUUCCGGGUUGGGUCA